AUGCAACUCGGGAGGACUCCCAGCCUCCCGCACACAACGUGCUCCAGCCCCAAGCAGAGCCCAGCUCCCCACAGCACGCUCCCAGAGCCUUAUUUUCAGCAGGGACGCGAGGUUUAUUUCAGCAAAGCUGGGCCUGGCCUCUCCUGCCACCAACACAAACGCGGCCCAGCGGUGGGGUUGGCAUUCGGACCCUUAUUUCCCGGUUCUCCCCGUAUAAGAGCUCUCCACGGUUCUUUUUACAACCCCCGACUCAACGGGACGGCCCGAACCGCGCAGACACACAGCGGGACGGCGGGGAAGGAGCACCGCGGGGAGGGGUUUGACAGACGGCCAAGAAGCGCCUGUAUCUCGGCACGGCAGCGGACGGAUAGCCGGGCCGUAUCUGCCGGCCCAAACCCUGAGCUCGCACAGAAACGCAGGGAUACCUCCGGGGAGCUCGGUGGGAUCCGAGCAGGAGGAGCAGCCGGCUGUUUUCAGCUUGACUCAGCGCUCAGCCCCAGCGCCGAGCUCACCCCAUCCGCUCCUCUCCCAACACCGCCCCACUUCCUCCACCGCUCCAACGCAGCUCGUGCAGCGGGGCCGAACGCAGCGGGGCCGAACGCAGCGCUCCCACCGCCGCUCCCCAUCCCCCCCCCUUCUGCCCGGCGGCCCUGGAGGCGCUCCAGGGGAACCCCGCGCCGCCCCGCCGCCGGCCGCCAUCUCCCCGCACCCCCUCGGGGGAAAAGCAGCUGCCCGCCGCCCUUCCACCACCACCACCACCACCACCACCCCCCGCUCCUCCACGCCAGACCCGCGGAUCCCGCUCCGGCUCUACUCACCGCUUGCCGUCGCACCUCGGGCGGCCGUACCCCUCAGCCGCUCGCCCCAACGGGCCGGGGGACGGCGCGGCCCGGGGUCAGCGAUAGCGGAGCCCGCAGCGCUCGGCAGCGGCAGGGCGGCGGUCCGGCACGGCGGCGGAGGACCGCCUGCGGAGCAUGCGCCGGGCUGAGCCCGCCCGGGGGCGGUGCGUGGCCGCGUGGCCGCCUCCCACAGCGCGGCCGGAGGGGGGAUGCGGCCCCGAGCCGCCAUUUGCUGCCCGCGGGGGCCGGGACGGGGCUGAGGAAAGCCGGAGGGGGACGUGGGGCUGCGUGCUGGCUUGAGUUUAGUGACAGAACCUCAGAGUCAUUGAGAUUAGAGAAGCCUUCCAAGCGCCCCAAGCCCAGCCUACAACCCCAGCGCCCGCUGCCCGCGUCUCUCAGUGACACAUCCCCACAGCUCUGGAGCACCCCCAGGGAUGGUGAUCCCCCCCCCAGCCCCAUGGACGUGCUGUGUCGGUGUCUCACCGUGCUCUGGAGAAGACAUUUCUCCUAA
rnacentral:lncRNA from 1 species